rnacentral:snRNA from 1 species
AUACUUACCUGGUACCGCGAGGAUGGUGAUCAAGAAGGCCGUCCCGCAGGUGGGAGGCGCGCGCAUUGCACUCCGCGCGACGUUGAACACCUUCACUGGACCAAAUCGGUUCAGAUGGGGUACGCCAUUUUUGAUUGCCCGGAUUAUCCGGG